UACAGAGGGGGCAAGCGUUGUUCGGAAUUACUGGGCGUAAAGGGCGCGUAGGCGGCCUGUUAAGUCGAACGUGAAAUCCCCGGGCUCAACCCGGGAACUGCGUCCGAAACUGGCAGGCUCGAAUUCGGGAGAGGGAUGCGGAAUUCCAGGUGUAGCGGUGAAAUGCGUAGAUAUCUGGAGGAACAUCGGUGGCGAAGGCGGCAUCCUGGACCGAUAUUGACGCUGAGGCGCGAAAGCCAGGGGAGCAAACUGG
rnacentral:rRNA from 1 species